AUAAAUCUGAAAUCUGUGCGAUUAGAGAGACGGACCAGACGAGCAAACAUCCGACAGAGAGCAUCUAACAGGAAAGCCAACGCAAUGGUUUAAGAAAUCAUACAAUAUUUAUCUGUACAGUAUAUAACCCCAACCCCAGCAACCCCGUAACAUGAAGAGUCUACCAGUGCGAGGAGACACACCUACAGUAACAUACAGCUUCAGUUAUAUUCAACUUUAAUAUGAGGGCUUUGAUUUCAGAAAUGCAUUUUGAUGGCCAACAUCAAGUGAGAAAAUCAGUACACUUCUGGAGGAUGAUACAGGGAAAACCUGGGACACAGUGGUCACAACUACAAGGAGCACUAGCGUCCAAAGCAGAGUGAAACAGCAGCUAGAGCAGAGGAGAGAACAAGCACAGCAGGGACAGAAGCACAAUCUGAAAGCAGGAGAGUCAAAGCCACUACAGCUGUAUAUCCCCCAUCACUAGUGAUACCAUUACACAAAGAGGGUGAAGACUAGCACAUGCCUCCUCUGAUACAUGUGAAGUCAUUCACCACCUCCUUUCAAACUGCUGAUGCUGAUGCAGCGUUGCUAAGUAGCAUCACAGCGCACUCGGAGGAAAGCACAGCGACUCGGUUCCAGUAGAUCAGCUCACAGACGCCUCAUGCUGAGCGACAUCACCCUUUGGAAUGAUGUAGGGAGAGAAUGCCAUCUACCCACCCAGAGAGAGCAAAGAAAAUUGUGCUUUCUCAGGACUCCGGCAGCUGAAGGCAAGCAGCAUGACCGGGAUUUGAACCUGAAAAAAUGUACUUAUUCACAUACAUAUAUACUUAUUGGUCUGUAAUCUUUUUUGGCAUAUUGUUUUUUUUUUUUCAAAGUCAUUUACACAAUUUCCCUGCCUCUCAUUAUCAUACCUGGUUAUCAUUAUUAGUGUCUCUUUAAGGCUGAUGUAAAAUACAUUACUUCUCUUUUGAUUGUGAUUGAUUGAGCCCCAUUUUCAGCUGAAUAAUUUCAUUUGGUGUAUUUGCUGCAAAACUGAAGUUGCAUUGAACUAAUCUUAUAAAUAGAACUGAUAGUGAUGCUGUUAGUGAUCAUGUAAUUACAUAUAAAAAAUCAAAGCUGAAUUUCUCAGGGCAUGGAGAUCUCCAGGGAGUCUGUAACAGUACCCGUCCAGGUAGACGUUACAGCUUGUACUAAUCCUGUUACACAACUUUCUCAGGCUAUUUAAACUGAGCAGGACAGCCGCCUGGAGCUGUUUACUGAUUGAUGGUAUUAGAGGGGCAUCUUGUUGGGACAUUUGAUCAGAAUAAUAAUGGUUAAUUGCCAGCUACAAACUAUAAAACAGCAAUGCAUUGAAUGCAGUAUAUUUACAUGUAUGCAUAAUUUUCUACACAAUUAAAAUGUUGUGUUUUUGAAAUACAGGAAAAAAAUUCUGUCUAGAAAAUAUCUAUACAUGCUUCUAAAAUGUAACUUAAAACAUAUUUAAGCAGUAUUAACUUUUUAAACCGGAAGUACUGUGCUAAUACAUGUUGAGAGAGCACUAGUACCCAAGCGAACAGACUACACUGCCUUUCUAUAAUGGGAUUACUGUCCAUCACCAGCCAAUCAGCAGGGUCUACUUUAAAUAACACACUCUAAAUACAACAGAGACCAAAGAGCAGACAAGCUGAGCUAUUCUGGGCCACUCGUACUACAGAUACUACACAAAACACUGCCUGCAUCUACUAUCAAAUAAUCUAGUAACAUUCAAAAGCAGAUUACCAAAGUAGCAAACUGAACAGAAAAAGUAUAGUAUUAUCAACACAACAAUCUGGGUAAAUAAUAAUAAUUAAGUCAUAAUAAAACCUUUACAAUGUCAUAUCUACUACUUAAUUAGAAACUCCAUAUUUGUGCUUCCACUUACUGGUCACUUUAUUAGAAACCCAGAGCUUCUGUUCCAUUCACCAGCCACUUUAUCAGAAACGCCCUACACUGGUGCUGAUACUCACUGGUCACGUUAUUAGACACCCUUCUUUAUCUUGUACUUCCAAUUAGUGGCCACUUUAUUAGAAACCCCUAGCUUGUGCUUUCACUCAAUGUCCACUUUAUCAGAAAUCCCAUCAUUGAACUUUCACACACUGGUCACUUUAUUAGAAACCCUCUAUCUUGUACGUACACUUUUAUAAGGAAUCCCCAUAUUUGUGCUUUAACUCACUGGUCUUUUUAUCAGAAACCCCCUUCACUGGUGCUGAUUGUCACUGGCCACUUUAUCAGAUACCAUUUUUACCUUCUACCUCUACUUACUGGCCACUUUAUUAGAAAGCCCAUCCUUAUAUCAUAUUUUUUGCACUAUAAGGUGCACCAGACUACAAGGCGCAUUAUGCAACACUUGUAAGGAUUUGAGCUUGCUAAUUCCCUGUUAAGAAAAGAAAAAGUUUGAGUUUAGUCAGCUGUCUCUGUCUGGUUCUGGCUCUGGCUCGCUGGUGACAAAACUUGUUUUUUUUGUGGUUAUUCUCUGUACUGGGCAAUAGUCAGGACUGCUUAGGACCCGGGGAGACUUUUUUUAUAUACUUCUCUCAGCGUGUCUCUCCACAACCAUCCAACAACCAAUCAGAUUUUUUUCCGAAUUUCCCAGGAGCGCUCUGAAAGCAGACGCUGAAGAUUGAACAAAAAAUUAAACAAAACUUUCUCAGCUGCAUGAUCAUGUCCAGUGAACGCGAAACGGAGAAAAGUGCAUUUAAAGAGGCGCCAUCAGCUAAUAAAUCCCCUGUUUGGGACUAUUUUGUCUUCAGCAUUGAGUAUGAUGUACAAGGUAAAAACACAGUCAGCAGAUAAAGCACAGUGUGAUAUCAGUUUGGUAUGUUCUUAAAGUAUGUGACUGGCUGACAAUAUUUGUUGGUUAAGUUGGUUGCCUGUUAUUGCCUGUUAUAAGAAUGUGUUCUUUUUUUUAAUAAUAAAUGUUGUGAUUUUAAUUCAUCUGUGCCUUUUUUCUAUUUAAUAUCGGCUCUGCAAAUGUGAGUAGGAGCACCUUGUUGAUUUGAAAUAGAAAGGGUUAAAAACGUACUGCAUGUUGGAGCUAGAUAAUAUUUAUAUAUAUAUUAAAACCAAACCGAAACCGUGGCCCAAGAACCGCGAUACGAACCAAACCGUGUCCACACUGUACCGUUGCAUCCCUAGUAAACACGCAGGCACCAGCGUUUUUUUUCAACAUUUUUUAAGUGCACUUUUUAGUGCAAAGAAUAUGUUACUUUCUACUCACUUUAUUAGAAACUCCCAUGUCGGUGCUUCAACUCACUGGCCAAUUUAUUAGAAACACCUUCUUUAUGCAUCUAUUUACUGACCACUUCAUUAGACCAUUAGACUCUCAGAUCUUCUGCUGUUAUAGCUUAGAGGUCCAGUAAGUUCAGGCUAGUCAACAGCCUAAUAGGAUCUGAGAUUAAAAUCUGGUUCUGAGGGAAUUCC